AGAGUUUGAUCCUGGCUCAGGACGAACGCUGGCGGCGUGCCUAACACAUGCAAGUCGAGCGGAGGUACAGAAGGAGUAAUCCGGAAGUACUUUAGCGGCGGACGGGUGAGUAACGCGUGAGCUACCUACCUUACACAGGGGGAUAACGGAGGGAAACCUUCACUAAUACCGCAUAAGACCACAGCACCGCAUGGUGCGGGGGUCAAAGGAGCAAUCCGGUGGAAGAUGGGCUCGCGUCCUAUUAGAUAGUUGGUGGGGUAACGGCCCACCAAGUCAACGAUGGGUAGCCGACCUGAGAGGGUGAUCGGCCACAUUGGAACUGAGAGACGGUCCAAACUCCUACGGGAGGCAGCAGUGGGGAAUAUUGGGCAAUGGGGGAAACCCUGACCCAGCAACGCCGCGUGAGGGAAGAAGGUUUUCGGAUUGUAAACCUCUGUCCUUGGUGAAGAGCAGAAGACGGUAGCCAAGGAGGAAGCCCCGGCUAACUACGUGCCAGCAGCCGCGGUAAUACGUAGGGGGCAAGCGUUGUCCGGAAUGAUUGGGCGUAAAGGGCGCGUAGGCGGCAGUACAAGUCUGGAGUGGAAGUCCUAUUUUCAAGGUAGGAAUUGCUUUGGAAACUGUACCGCUUGAGUGUAGGAGAGGUUAUCGGAAUUCCCGGUGUAGCGGUGAAAUGCGU
rnacentral:rRNA from 1 species